AAUUGGGAGGGGGCAAGAAGGAAAGCAAAUUCAGAGCAACCAGGGGACUCACCACGGGUCCAAAGCCGUGGGUUGAAUGAAUGCCACCAUGGAAUAGCAGCACAAAAGGAAGCGGUCCAGAUCUCGUCUCUGGGGAUCCUGCUAGGGAAAAAACGAUGCUUUUUGGGGUUGGGUUGGCCCCCCUUGUUCCAGGUCCCAGU
rnacentral:lncRNA from 1 species